UACGAAGGGGGCUAGCGUUGCUCGGAAUCACUGGGCGUAAAGCGCACGUAGGCGGCUUCUAAGUCAGGGGUGAAAUCCUGGAGCUCAACCUCCAGAACUGCCUUUGAUACUGGAGAGCUUGAGUCCGGAAGAGGUGAGUGGAACUCCGAGUGUAGAGGUGAAAUUCGUAGAUAUUCGGAAGAACACCAGUGGCGAAGGCGGCUCACUGGUCCGGUACUGACGCUGAUGUGCGAAAGCGUGGGGAGCAAACAGGG
rnacentral:rRNA from 1 species